AAUUCCAGAUUUAAGAUGGCCUGUGGUUGAAGGAAGCACGUCAGCGUAUGUUUGCAGUAAUAAAAAUCUUCCCACUAUCUAACUUAAAUCUGCUUUGUCCCCUCAAGUUUAUUUCUCAGCCUACUUUAAUUGGACUUUGACCCCAUCCAUCCAAAGAAAUCUCCCUCCUCAAGAUUAUCCACAGCCUCCUUGAUGUUCUUCAUCUGGCCAGCCCUGAAAACAGACUGUAGUACCUUGAGACAGAAGAAAAGGUUCUGAAAUUAACAACAUGAAGAAAGGGAGAAACUACCCUCCUUCUAUUCCCUGAAGGC